UACGGAGGGUGCAAGCGUUGUCCGGAUUCAUUGGGGUUAAAGGGUGCGCAGGCGGGAGGGUAAGUCAGGGGGGAAAGACGGUUGCUCAACAAUCGCAGUGCCCUUGAUACUGGUUUUCUUGGGUGACCUUGAGGUAGGCGGAAUGGGUGGUGUAGCGGUGAAAUGCAUAGAUACCACCCAGAACUCCGAUUGCGAAGGCAGCCUACUGGAGGUUAACCGACGCUCAGGCACGAAAGCGUGGGGAUCAAACAGG
rnacentral:rRNA from 1 species